ACCGAGUGCGGGCCCCUCGGGGCCCAACCUCCCACCCGUGUUGCCCGAACCUAUGUUGCCUCGGCGGGCCCCGCGCCCGCCGACGGCCCCCCUGAACGCUGUCUGAAGUUGCAGUCUGAGACCUAUAACGAAAUUAGUUAAAACUUUCAACAACGGAUCUCUUGGUUCCGGCAUCGAUGAAGAACGCAGCGAAAUGCGAUAACUAAUGUGAAUUGCAGAAUUCAGUGAAUCAUCGAGUCUUUGAACGCACAUUGCGCCCUCUGGUAUUCCGGAGGGCAUGCCUGUCCGAGCGUCAUUGCUGCCCUCAAGCCCGGCUUGUGUGUUGGGCCCCGUCCCCCCCGCCGGGGGGACGGGCCCGAAAGGCAGCGGCGGCACCGCGUCCGGUCCUCGAGCGUAUGGGGCUUCGUCACCCGCUCUAGUAGGCCCGGCCGGCGCCAGCCGACCCCCAACCUUUAAUUAUCUCAGGUUGACCUCGGAUCAGGUAGGGAUACCCGCUGAACUUAAGCAUAUCAAUAAGCGG
rnacentral:sRNA from 1 species